GAUGCUGUUGCCCUGGUGAUUGCUCAUUCGAGUCUCGAUUGCACCAGAGAGAGGAGCUAUGUCAUUGCAACCCACUAAAUAGAGAACCUGGCUAUACUUCAGACAAACCUCUGUUCUGUUAAGAAGUGUUUUAGAGUCCAGGAAUGCACUUACCUGGAAGAAAAAGGACCUCUUCAGUUGGAUCUUCUCCUGCAGCAGGAGAGUGCAGUUGGUGGCACAACUUGUUGGCCAGUCCGGUGCACGUCACAUAUGCUGAUGGUCCUGAAGAAGAGACAAGAUAGUGAGGGUAAAACUUCAGUACCAAUCCUGGGUUAUGUCUGCUGUUGAUGGGGCCCACAGAAAUU